GAUGAACGCUGGCGGCGUGCCUAAUACAUGCAAGUCGAGCGAACAGACGAGGAGCUUGCUCCUCUGACGUUAGCGGCGGACGGGUGAGUAACACGUGGAUAACCUACCUAUAAGACUGGGAUAACUUCGGGAAACCGGAGCUAAUACCGGAUAAUAUAUUGAACCGCAUGGUUCAAUAGUGAAAGACGGUUUUGCUGUCACUUAUAGAUGGAUCCGCGCCGCAUUAGCUAGUUGGUAAGGUAACGGCUUACCAAGGCAACGAUGCGUAGCCGACCUGAGAGGGGAGCCGGCAACAGGGGAUCUGAGCCCGGCCCCAAACUCCGCGGGGGGGCACAGGAGGGGAUUCUUCCGCAAGGGCGGAAGGCCGGACGGAGCAACGCGGGGGGAGUGAUGAUGUUCUACGGAUCUUAAACCUUUGUUAUAAGGAAGGAACAAAUGUGAAAGUAACUGGGCGCGUUUGGACGGUCCCUAACCAAAAAGCCCCGGCUAACUCCGGG
rnacentral:rRNA from 1 species